rnacentral:lncRNA from 1 species
GCUCAGCCAGACCCCGGGAGGGAAGCUGCCCUUCAAAGUGCUCAUGUCCAGGGUCUCAUUCUGUCUCCCAGGCUGGAGUGCAAUGGCACAAUCAUGGCUCACUGCAGCUUCAACCUCCUGGGCUCAAGCAAUCCUCCCACCUCAGCCUCCAGAGCAACUGGGACUACAGAGCAGUAAUAGUUUACAAUAUACCUACAGUUUCCUGGGCAGAUCAUCGUGUGCAGACCGGCUGCAGAGAGAAGGGAACUGUUUCACUUUCAUCUUCCUGGGCCAUUUCCAGAUAUGAAUUGCAGAGACAUAUUUCAAUAUAUCCUCACCCAAAUAUGCUUUAGAAGUACAUUUCUUUUAAUGUAAUAAGAUUUAUGUCCUUUGUGUUUGUUUAGAGGGUAAAUCUGGAUUUGUAUUUUUAGAAGUUACUUUCACCAAAGAAAUUCGAAAGAAAUAGUGUUUCAGAAAAAUCAAAACAAGCCAUAGAAAUCUAAUAUGUUUCAGAUACUAUAUUGGGCUGCAUGAAGACUAAAUCCAUAAUAUGUAUGAAUAAUGUAUUCUAAAGUAAAUAUCAUAUUUUGUCAAAUUAUUUGUCUGGCAAAAUUAAGUUCUUUUUUCUUUAAAAUGAACUUUUUUUCUUAUUUCGAAGUGAUGU